CCUAUCAGAGGGGGAUAACCCGGCGAAAGUCGGACUAAUACCGCAUGAAGCAGGGGCCCCGCAUGGGGAUAUUUGCUAAAGAUUCAUCGCUGAUAGAUAGGCAUGCGUUCCAUUAGGCAGUUGGCGGGGUAACGGCCCACCAAGCCGACGAUGGAUAGGGGUUCUGAGAGGAAGGUCCCCCACAUUGGUACUGAGACACGGACCAAACUCCUACGGGAGGCAGCAGUGAGGAAUAUUGGUCAAUGGCCGAGAGGCUGAACCAGCCAAGUCGCGUGAGGGAUGAAGGUUCUAUGGAUCGUAAACCUCUUUUAUAAGGGAAUAAAGUGCGGGACGUGUCCCGUUUUGUAUGUACCUUAUGAAUAAGGAUCGGCUAACUCCGUGCCAGCAGCCGCGGUAAUACGGAGGAUCCGAGCGUUAUCCGGAUUUAUUGGGUUUAAAGGGUGCGUAGGCGGCCUUUUAAGUCAGCGGUGAAAGUCUGUGGCUCAACCAUAGAAUUGCCGUUGAAACUGGGGGGCUUGAGUAUGUUUGAGGCAGGCGGAAUGCGUGGUGUAGCGGUGAAAUGCAUAGAUAUCACGCAGAACCCCGAUUGCGAAGGCAGCCUGCCAAGCCAUGACUGACGCUGAUGCACGAAAGCGUGGGGAUCAAACAGGAUUAGAUACCCUGGUAGUCCACGCAGUAAACGAUGACCACUAGCUGUUUGCGAUACACUGUAAGCGGCA
rnacentral:rRNA from 1 species